rnacentral:rRNA from 1 species
AUUGAACGCUGGCGGCAUGCCUUACACAUGCAAGUCGAACGGCAGCACGGGAGCAAUCCUGGUGGCGAGUGGCGAACGGGUGAGUAAUAUAUCGGAACGUGCCCAGUCGUGGGGGAUAACGUAGCGAAAGCUACGCUAAUACCGCAUACGAUCUAUGGAUGAAAGCGGGGGAUCGCAAGACCUCGCGCGAUUGGAGCGGCCGAUAUCAGAUUAGGUAGUUGGUGAGGUAAAGGCUCACCAAGCCGACGAUCUGUAGCUGGUCUGAGAGGACGACCAGCCACACUGGGACUGAGACACGGCCCAGACUCCUACGGGAGGCAGCAGUGGGGAAUUUUUGGACAAUGGGCGCAAGCCUGAUCCAGCAAUGCCGCGUGCAGGAUGAAGGCCCUCGGGUUGUAAACUGCUUUUGUACGGAACGAAAGGUUUCUAUUAAUACUAGGAGCUCAUGACGGUACCGUAAGAAUAAGCACCGGCUAACUACGUCG